UUGCUUUCACAGCACAUAUUCUAAAAUUGGAAUACUAAGAGUGGAUCAGCGCAGACCCUGCAUAACCAUGACACAUAAACUCAGGAAGUGCUCUGUGUUUUA
ensembl:snRNA U6 U6 spliceosomal RNA